CACCGCCUGGGGAGUACGACCGCAAGGUUAAAACUCAAAUGAAUUGACGGGGACCCGCACAAGUAGUGGAGCAUGUGGUUUAAUUCGAAGAUACGCGCAGAACCUUACCAACACUUGACAUGUUCGUCGCGACUUUAAGAGAUUAAAGUUUUCGGUUCGGCCGGACGAAACACAGGUGCUGCAUGGCUGUCGUCAGCUCGUGUCGUGAGAUGUUGGGUUAAGUCCCGCAACGAGCGCAACCCUCACUUUUAGUUGCCAUCAUUUAGUUGGGCACUCUGAAAGAACUGCCAGUGAUAAGCUGGAGGAAGGUGGGGAUGACGUCAAGUCCUCAUGGCCCUUACGUGUUGGGCUACACACGUGCUACAAUGGUAUCUACAACAGGAAGCAAGACGGCGACGUUAAGCAAAUCCUUAAAAGAUACCUCAGUUCGGAUUGCACUCUGCAACUCGAGUGCAUGAAGCUGGAAUUACUAGUAAUCGUGGAUCAGCGUGCCACGGUGAAUGCGUUCCCGGGUCUUGUACACACCGCCCGUCACACCAUGGGAGUUGGUUCUACCUUAAGGCAAGGUUUAAAACCCUUGACCACGGUAUAGUCAGCGACUGGGGUGAAGUCGUAACAAGGUAGCCGUAGGGGAACCUGCGGCUGGAUUACCUCCUUUCUAAGGAUGAAUGAAAGUAAAAUUUCAUUCUAAAUAAUAUACAGGUUAAUGUUGACCGUCCUCAUUUCUCUUCUUAAUUUAGUGUUUCUCUUAAAGCAUGGGGGCCGGUAGCUCAGUUGGUUAGAGCACACCCUUGAUAAGGGUGGGGUCGAAAGUUCGAGUCUUUCUCGGCCCACCAAUUUAAAUCUGGGGGAUUAGCUCAGCUGGGAGAGCGCCUGAUUUGCAUUCAGGAGGUCAGCGGUUCGAUCCCGCUAUCCUCCACCAAAAGAACCUUAGUUGUUUUAAAUUGUAAAAAAUUUUAAUUAUUAUCAAUAUCUAUAUCCGAUCAUUCGAAUGAUGUAUGCUAAUGUUCAAAAAUGAAAUUUAUUAAUUUGAUUCACACAGAUUUUUUCUG
rnacentral:sRNA from 1 species